AGAUGUUCAUGGAUAGCACCAAGAUUAUGAUCAUCAAUGUCAUCAAGAAACAAUAGCUUUUUUCAUUUCAAAACAAGGAUCAGAGAUGGAGCAUUGUAUGAAAUCCUAAAGAAGAUUUUCAUGAUCAAAAUUGAACAUGGGACUUCGAAAAAAAGAAAAGUUGUUCGACUCUAACAACUCGUUCAAGAGAAGAUAAAGAGAAAGUGAAUAUUCUCUUCACUUUCUCUCUAUACAUAUGAAAAUAUGAUUCGCAAAUUGGCUCCUAUCAAUUCACGCAAUGGCAAGAAAAUUAUAAAAUCACCUAGAGGAAAAACAGAUAAAAGGCAAAUAAGAUAAGACAAGUCAAACAUUCUUUCAUAAGACAAGUCAACUGAUAAUAAAUAAAAGAAAUGUAAAAUUAUAAAUGGUGUGUCUUCUCAGCAGUUGACUUUUUAUAUAAACAUUAAAGUCUUUUAGAUCAACAA